ensembl:lncRNA
CUGAAGCAGUAUGUACAGCCUGUGAUACGCAGACUGGAGUAAAACCUUCUUCAUGACAUUUUGUUGUAUGGAAAAGCUUGAGUUUUUGGAAGACACUCCGAUAACACAAUAUGGAAAGCAUGCUAUCUUAGCAUUUCCUACGCCGACUUGGAAUGCCUUCUGUUUGGAGAGGAUCCACUGGCAAGUGAGGGAAGGGGAAGUGCUGGGAAAACCCCAUGAGCGGAGGAGCAGGUAUAUUCUUCCAGGGCCAGAAGGGAAGCGCACGUUUCAUCUGAGCUGGCACAGAGCUGGAGAAAGCUGCUUCACUGCUGCAACACUGGGCUGCCCACUGUUUGGUCCUGCUACCUCCCAUUGCACCCGUUGCUUAGUGAGACAACUGCAUGAUGAGCUGCUACCAGCACUUUCAAAGCACUUCCUCGUGGAUUUAAUCAGUCCCUAAGAUGUCAACAAGAUAAUCAGUUUGGCCAUCCAAAAUGGAAAGGGGAAGAAAAGAAAGGUUUGACAUGCAGUGGCAGACAUGUAAAAAUGACUACAUGCCUUCCCGAGACAAAGGUAUCCAGCGCCUGCAUGAUUGCUUCACUGUCGUCACCACUGGGUUUUAAGUAUUUAUUCCCUUUGUCUCUUUUGGAAGAUAAAAUAUAAAGUACAGCUUCGCCAAAGUAAUCACGUCCUCUUUUUUUUUUUUUUUUUUUUAAACAGACUGCCUUCUCCCCCUGUCCUCUCGGUCUUGUAAUUUCACCAGAUUGUGCAAGUGUUAAACACGACGUCCAGAAAUAAAAGGAAAGGGAGAGGGAGAGGGAGCGGAGCGAGCCUGGCUGGCGGCAGGCUGGGGUCGGGGCAGAGCCCCACGGCUCACCCUGCCCUGUGCCCGGGUGCUUGCAGCCAGGCUGCCGGCAGCAGGCAGGGUGCAGCCCAGUGCCUUUGGGCUUGGGGGCUUUUUUUGAAGUGGUUUGGUUGGGUUUUUUUUCCUGAUGCGUGUGUAUUGCGUUUAUUUGCUGCCUCUGCUAUGGAGGUGUGCUGGGGAAGCAGAGAAGAGCUACAGAAAUAGCCAGAAAGUUGUCCCGUAUUUCCUUGUUGCCUUCUUUGGACAGGCACCUCACCCCUGCAGCUCUGGCAUCCCCGACACUAUUGGAACGGUGCUGGCAGCGCUAGCUCUGACUCGGACACCCGGCCCUAGCUGGGGAAUGGGGUCCCCUCCCUCUGCCCCGUGCCAGGGGAUGUGUCCCGUUGCAGCCAGACCCUGCCCAGAGCGUGGCACCGCACCGCUCAGCCAGCAAGUCUCACGCAGAUCACCAAACUGAAGGAGCAGUCCUCGCCCAGCACUAACCAACCAAGCCAUUGCCACCCAGGAGCCAUGCAUCCCAUCAGCCUCAGCAAGAG